AAUGAACGUUGGCGGCGUGGAUUAGGCAUGCAAGUCGUGCGCGAAUCGUAGCAAUACGAGGAGAGCGGCGAAAGGGAGAGGAUAGCAUAGAUACCUACCCUCGGACCUGGGAUAGCUAUGGGAAACUAUAGGUAAUACCAGAUAACGUCUCCGGACCAAAGGUGUGAUUCCGUCCGGGGAGGGGUCUAUGUCCUAUUAGCUUGUUGGUGAGGUAACGGCUCACCAAGGCAAAGAUGGGUACGAGGCGUGAGAGCGUGUCCUCGCUCACUGGGACUGGGACACUGCCCAGACACCUACGGGUGGCUGCAGUCGAGAAUCUUCGGCAAUGGGCGCAAGCCUGACCGAGCGACGCCGCGUGCGGGAUGAAGGCCUUCGGGUUGUAAACCGCUGUCAGUGCGGAGGAAAUAUAGGGGGGCACUCCCCUCUAUUUGACCUAUGCGCAGAGGAAGGACGGGCUAAGUUCGUGCCAGCAGCCGCAGUAA
rnacentral:rRNA from 1 species